rnacentral:rRNA from 1 species
ACUUAAGCAUAUCAAUAAGCGGAGGAAAAGAAACUAACAAGGAUUCCCCUAGUAACUGCGAGUGAAGCGGGAAAAGCUCAAAUUUAAAAUCUGACAGUCUUUGGCUGUCCGAGUUGUAAUCUAGAGAAGCAUUAUCCGCGCUGGACCGUGUACAAGUCUCCUGGAAUGGAGCGUCAUAGAGGGUGAGAAUCCCGUCUUUGACACGGACUGCCAGGGCUUUGUGAUGUGCUCUCAAAGAGUCGAGUUGUUUGGGAAUGCAGCUCAAAAUGGGUGGUAAAUUCCAUCUAAAGCUAAAUAUUGGCGAGAGACCGAUAGCGAACAAGUACCGUGAGGGAAAGAUGAAAAGAACUUUGGAAAGAGAGUUAAACAGUACGUGAAAUUGCUGAAAGGGAAACGCUUGAAGUCAGUCGCGUUGUCCAGGGAUCAACCUUGCUUUUGCUUGGUGUACUUUCUGGUUAACGGGUCAGCAUCAAUUUUGAUUAUUGGAAAAAGAUUGAGGGAAUGUGGCAUCUUCGGAUGUGUUAUAGCCCUUGGUUGCAUACAAUAGUUGGGAUUGAGGUACUCAGCACGCCGCAAGGCCGAGUUUUUACUACGUACGUGCUUAGGAUGCUGGCAUAAUGGCUUUAAUCGACCCGUCUUGAAACACGGACCAAGGAGUCUAACAUGCCUGCGAGUGUUUGGGUGGAAAACCCGAGCGCGCAAUGAAAGUGAAAGUUGAGAUCCCUGUCGUGGGGAGCAUCGACGCCCGGACUUGACCUUUUGUGACGGUUCCGCGGUAGAGCAUGUAUGUUGGGACCCGAAAGAUGGUGAACUAUGCCUGAAUAGGGUGAAGCCAGAGGAAACUCUGGUGGAGGCUCGUAGCGAUUCUGACGUGCAAAUCGAUCGUCAAAUUUGGGUAUAGGGGCGAAAGACUAAUCGAA